rnacentral:lncRNA from 1 species
CUCAAAGGUUAAUGAAUGACGGAGAUAGUCCACCCUUUCCUCGUAAAAAAAGAAACUGACUUUUAAUAAUGCCCAAGUAAAACUUGUAAUUCUCUAACAAACUAAAAAUCACUGGAUAAUGAAAUCACUAUUCAUUAGUUUUGGCUUACUUAAAAGCCUAAUAAACAGUGCCUAGGGCACUGUAAAAAUGAAAAACAAUUUCAAUGUCCUUUCAUGAGUUCUAAUCUAAUUAGUGUAUGACUGCAUAAAGAAAAUAUCUCGGGGGCUGGGGAUAUAGCUCAGUGGUGCUGUCGCCUGCCUUCCAAGCACAAGGUCCUUAGUUGGAUCCCUGGUACAAAAAAAAAAAGAAAAAAGAAAAGAAAAUCUCUCAGGGCAAGGGAUUUAGCUCAGAGGCACUGCACCUACCUCACAAGCACAAGGUCUUGAGUUAGAUCCCUGGUACCAAAAAAAAAAAAAAUCUAUUGGUGGACAAAAAUUAAACUUACAUAUAUACUGCAAAUGUGAUUUUCUCGUUUUGUUUUCCAAAAGCUUCUAGUUAUUUAACCAAGUGAAGGGAUGUACUAACAUUACUUGCAUAAGAAAAAUUAAAACUCUCACAUAAUCCAUGUAUUAUACCUUUAAUGCUGAUAAAAUUUAAAAGCUAGUAAUUACAACCUUUAUUGAGCUAAUACAGAUACAUAAAAAAUGCUUUAAGGGAAGAUUUUUGGGUAGCUAGACCAUUUAAAUCAUACUUUCAGACUAGCCAUUUAUCCUCCCCAUGUGCUGUUAAGGUACUUCUUACAACCAUAUUGUUCAAAUAUGGUUACUUAUUCUUUACUGCAUUCCUUCACAAAAUAAAGGCUGAGAGUAAAGCCUUGAGACUAAAUUAAGAGACAGGCUCCCUCUUUUCUAACAACCCUCUGGGAUCUUGUAUCACUUCAUAAAAUAGAUGUUAUACUGGGUUGAUUUUUAAAAAGGACCAAUAAUCAUGUUUCAUGGCUGCACCAAAUAAAAACUUUUCACUUUAAUCUCUAUUAUCUUAAUUAUUAGUACAUUAGGGUUGAGGUCUCCAAAUUUAAACAAAUUUUUCUCCCUUAAAACCACAGCCUCUAUGUAAAUCAAGUAUAGCUUAAUGCCAUUUUACAAUUAUGCACUAAUUCCUAAAAUAUUCCACAAAAAGUACAAUGAGUUUUUAAAUUUUGAUCAGCUGCCUAGUGUCAGUUUUAACCAGAGCUGAAAAACAGAAGAUUUAAGUAAACUGAAAGUCAUUACUGGGUUUUAAACGAAGAUAUUUAAGUAAUCUUCUUGAUAUUUUCUUUUGACAGCCACUUAUUUCUACCCUGAAAAAAGCUUGAAAUAAAAAAAUUAGUAUUUAAAAUACUAUACAAAAUUCUAAAAAAAGAAAACCAGACAAGUAUACUUCAGUUUAAUCACUGUCCACAUAGAUUUGUGAAAAAUGUUAAGAGAUACACUUUAAGUCGCAAAGGAGAUUUAAGAAUUCUUGUUAACUAUUACAGUAUGGAAAUGUGACUA